CAAAUACAACAGCAACAAUAACCACAAGCUCCAUAAAAUACCAGGAGGGGAAAUCUUAAACCAGCUCCAAGUCCAGUCAAGUUUUUGCCAUAUUGUUUCUUUAAGAUGAUGCACUCAGCGCAGGUCUAAUGCCCCUUUGGCCAUGUUGCUACCCCUGAUAACCUCAAAGUCAAUUAAGAGAACUGCUUUAAAUGAGAAAGCCAAUUCUGAUGAGGUUUAUUCUGGGGAAGUUUCAGAACUCAUGUUUAUGUCCCUUUCUUCCUGUGAGCCUAAGGAUCUAUGCUUUGAAUAUUUGACCAAUUUUAGCAAAUUAAAUUUCAUUUGAUUAUCCUAUAGGAAGACACCUCCUUGUUUUCCUAGAAACUGCUAGUCUGUUAUGGGCAAAUUGAUGUAAAGACUUAUUUGCCUAUUGGAGAAAUAGACUGGUUCUUUAAUAAUUCAUGCCUUAUGUCCAGUUUUCUGACUGUCUUCAUAGACCUUCCUUUUAUGACAUUAUUAUUGUAGGUGUAGCAGGGUCCUGAAUAAUAUGUAACUCACAUCCAUCCUCUAGUGCCAAUAAAAGGCUUAGGAAAACUUUUCACCAACCCUAUAAUUUUCUAUGCUCGACCAAGUUGUGCUGGCCAUUGUGUACCAUGUAAUGCAACCAUAACAGAGUUAAGAUAGAAUGAAUAAGAAACAAAAAUGCUUCCCUUUAUUGGAGAUUGAUAAUAUUUGAGAUAACAUGCCCAAAUAGUGCACCCAGAAAAAUGAGCUCAUCCAUCAUGAAUCUUGCCAUGUUGUAAUUCAGGAUUACUCCUCAGAAUUAUAAGGCUAUUAUAGUCCAAGAGGUCUGGUUGCCAGAGAAUGAAUCCUCAGAGAACCUUAGAUAGCCCGAGUCAGAGGAAUCAUUCCUUGGCUGCUAAUCCACUGUGUCUAUAAUAGUUCAGCCCUGAUCCCUGACAUUAUGCUGCCUGAGUCACAUGCUCUCAGAGAAAAUGACUUCAGGUUUAAGUAGAAAGGUCAAAAGAGGACAGGGAGACAGGGAAACUUGGGGUUAGGCAGAUGCACUGUUUGGUCAGAUGUUAUAGGGACAGAUUAGGGAGAACUGACUCUGGCUUCUCCUUGAGGGAGCUCAGAAAUUCCUGAGAAUAAUGAUUAUACCUGUGGAGAAACCCAGUUGUACAUAAUUGGUUGUAGCAGACAGGAGACAGUCCAGCACUUCAGGCUUCAAACUUAUUCAGGAGAUUUGGUUCAUAGAAGAAUUUAUAUUAAAACCUUAAGUCUCAAUCUUUCCAUAUCCCAGGGUUAUCACCUUAAGAUACUAUGCUCAUCAGAGCCCUCGAGUUUAAUUAACAUUUUCCAAGGACAGGAAAAAUUAUUCCUCAUAUGAAAAUCAUCUCUUAGUGAUUUAUCUUCUUCAGCUGUUACAAAACAGUAUGUUACUUUGAUAUUUUUUUAAAAAUCUUGGAGAAUGCAUCUGAUCCAAGUUAAUAAUGCAUAGCAAUAUUUUUGGAUGAUGCUUGGAUUCAUUGCUCAUAUAAACUGAGCCCAGGCUCUACAUUACAUUAGGGUUUGUCAGGUGAUGUCCUUUCAGAGGGCACACAGCGCUCUUCCUCCUCUUUCCAGAGCAGAGGACAAGAUCUUGGUAAAAGCACAAGGCUUAUACAACUAAGAAGAAUUCUUUUGGCCCUUAUAAGAUUCUAAGCCUAUUAAACCAAAAUAGGAAUCAGGGCAUCACAUCAACUUUGUGAAAGCCCCAAGAAUUAUUCCUCUAUCUAAUACAGGGAAAAUGAAUUGCAGAACCUCAAUAAAAACAAACAUCCAUCAAUGUUGCCAUUCCCAUCUGAUCCCUCUUUCUGACCCAGCAGCAAUACCAAAGGAGUUUUGUGGAAGGGAAGCCUGGUUUCUCUAGUAUAAAUCUCAAAAGGUCAGGAAUGUGUUUCAGCUUCCAUCAGUAAACUCCUAUUAAUUCACCAGACAUAGGAUUUACCUAACCCUUUAGAAACUAUUUCUGUUACCCAUAGAUGCCCAGCUUGCCAGUCUAUGGCAAUGGAAAGCAUCCUGCCAGUUUAUACCAAAAAUAGAGCAGCACUCUCUCCUACCAGCCCAUUUGCUGGAGAUUUAACUCUUUCAAAGUGUUCUCCACCCUAUCUGAAACUUACUUCACUGAUGCUACCUUGUUAGGCUCUAUAAGAGAGCUCUCUCCUAUUUCUCAGCCUUUGAUCUUCAGGAAAGCUCUAUUAUCGUAGGCCCAGUUUUCUCCACUAAUGUCUACUAUUACUCCCACUUCAGUCUCAGGAAAGAGAAAUAUUUUCCCGUGGUCCAAAGAGGACAUUUUGAUAAUGUUCCCUAGUUUUUGGUGGGGUACAAUGUGGAUGCAAUACCUUUGGGGCCUACAGUUUGCUUACCUGAAGUCUCUCACAGAAUAUGCUGUUGGUUUCCUCUGAACUGCUGUUGUUCCUGCUGCGGUUCCUGAGGAAAACAGAAGCUCAGUGUUGCUGCUGCCCUGGGGACAGUUCAGCACUAGCACUGAUUGGCUUCAGGCCUCUCCAUACUUCAAAGUCCAGGACCAAAUUGGCCUCUAACACAGAGAAAGGCCAAAAUCCCUCCUACAGUCUGUAAUUUCAAUCCAUGUCCCACAUGGGGAUGAUCUGCUUCCCAGG
rnacentral:lncRNA from 1 species